AAAAAAGGGAAUGGCUAAACUUGUUACAGCUCGAGCAAACAUUUAGCAAUUUCCUUUGCUUU
rnacentral:pre_miRNA from 1 species